GCUAAAAUAUGAUGAUGUCUUAACAGAUAAAGAAGGGAGAAGCUUCUGAAAUCAGCCCUGGGUGUUGUGCAGGGUUUUGUCUGUUCUCAUUUCAUGGUGAAAAUGACUUGGCCUCUGCCAAAGUCUGAGAAAAAUUGUUGAGGACUUCAGUAGAAGGAAAAACAUUUUCAAUAUUGAGCUUAGGUUUUUCUUCUACAUGCGAUUCUCUGCAUUAUUUUCAUUUGUAUUGUCUUCUACAUACCCAUCCUCAAAAUUGUUCUGUGUCUAAUUUGGUUUCCUAGCUAUAUAUUUUUAUUAGCAUGAACUUCAGCAAUUAAAAGAUGCAAAGCUUAACUGCUUUUUAAUGUCUGCAGAAAAGGCAUGUACUGAUUCCACAACUGACUAUUAUCCAUAAAAUAAGAAUUUUAAUCUUUACCAAUAAUUUUCAGUAAUUUAAUGGGAAGGUAUGCGUAUUCAAAAAUGUCAUGAUUAUAGCAGUUAGAUACAGAAUGACUUCCUAUUGAGGUAUUCUCUUUUUUACCCCCCCCAGGUAGUCAUUUAUUCUCCCCAGUGAUGAUGAAAGGAGCGGAUGUAGAACAGGAAUAAAGUCUCUAAAUGCUACUAUUCCCUGUCAUUCUUUUCUGAGAAACUUAUUUGAAAGCCAUUAUUAUGCAGGGAGUACUGAAGACUUCACAGCUAGGAAAUGAGUGCAGCUUGCUUCACUGGUUUAUUUUUUUAGGACACAAGCAGAGAUUGGUACAUGGUGACUCUGAGCAUAGGAUUACAAAACAGAAUCCAUUCUUAAAACAGCAUUCAUGGUAUGUUUGCUAAAAAGGGAAACAUGACUCAUGCCUUUCUGGAAAGGUGGAAUUUGGAAAUGUUUUAUGUAGUCUUCCUUUGAGUGUGUUAGAAGGAUAAGAAUUUUACUAAAGAUAGGACUGAGAAAUAUUGUAAGAGUGUACAGACACUCUAAAUCCUUUGGGGGUAAAACUUGCCACAGAAAGAGAUUGAGAGAGAGUAUUUUUACUGCUCUGGAGAGGUUGACAAAAAGUGCAGACUAUUUGAAAAAGAAACAAAUUGGCAAUUGGGGCAAAUUAUUUUCAUCACACCCGCAAAAUUACAGUGAGCAAGUCUUUAAAGGUGAUUAUGCCCAUCUUUUUAAUGGAAUAUCAAAAUGGCAUUAUAUUUUUACAGCUGGCUUUUUGAAGAUGAAAAAUAACAGAUUUUAUUAAGCUUGCAGUUACAUUUCAAACACAAACCACAGACUUGCAAGAAAAAAUUUGUUUGCAAAUAAUAGCAUGAAAGGAGCUAGAGCCAAAUUUUAAACCGUUAUGUCACAUGGGUUAUGCUGACGUCCUGAAUUAUUGUUCUGAUAGCAGUGACUCAGAGGGUAGGUCCUGUGUAUAUGAGAAAUUAUUUUAUGGUUUAGAAUAAUGAUAACUUCCCCCGCCCCACCUCCGUAAAGAUUCUUCCCCCAGGAGCUAAAAGUAGGAAAAAUUAAGACAUUAACAAACGUCUAAAUCAUGCAAUAUAACUCUAUCAGUAAAAAAUCAGUUAUCUUUAUUAUAUGUUACUACUUACGUAUAAUAUAAGCACAACUAUAUAAAAGAAAUAAUCAACAAUUCUUACAGCAUCGUUUUAACCAUGGAGGGUAACUGUGUUCCUGCCAGUCCAGCAUGAAACUGUAGAGAAUAGUGCCGUGUUUUGCCUAAUUUUAUUUCAGAUACAGAAGGCUGUUUCUCCACUUUCUUUUUCCAAAGUUGUUUUUUAAAGUGUGACCAAGGUUGCACCUAUCUCAUUUAUCGUUUUAAACGCCACACGUAUGUUGUUACCAAAUACAGGUGAAUUUCCUGUUAAGUAGAAUUUGGUUUAGUGUCACUGAAGAUGCUGCUGAAAGGAGCAUCUCAUCGGAUGCCUCUCAGGUGAACCUCUGGGUCACCGCUGAACUUCCGUUUUUAAAAAAAUGUCUUUCAUGAAAUUUAACAGCUCUGAAAUUUAGAAUACAAAUGAAAACGAUACCUUAAGGACAUUACCAACACUGUUUCUCAUAUGUUUGUAGGAGAUUGAAAGCAAUAUUACAAUGUAUUUUAUGUCUAAAGUCACUUGUUUGAUUUUCAAGGAAAUGUCUUGUGAUUAGUCUAGCUUGUGUUGUAUGUGUAUUUUUUCCUCAUCUCAUAUUUACAUAGUCUUUCCGUUCACUUGCUAAAAGCACUUGAUUAUUUUCUGCCUCCAGAGGAUGCUCUCGUUUUAGCAGGCAAAACAUAAUGAAGAAGUAAAUGCUGUGUUCGCAGAUGAUGACAGCCAAAUCUUUUGUAGCCCAUUAUCAUCUCUGUGGGUUCAGUUUACAGCCUAGAGCUAUUGGAAGGUUGCAACAGUGGACAUAUUUUACAAACAGAAGGAAGGCUGAGUACUUCAGAAUUAUGAUGUACUCUCAUAAGAGGCAUCUUUUUAGCUCUAUUAAUGUUAACAAUAGAUCAGUCUUUUAGUAACUGCAUUUUCUUGCCUUUAAAUUCCGUCUUAAGCAGAAUGGUUUUUAUCCCUCUCAUUAUUACAGCCAGGUUGAUAGGCCUCAUCUGUUCAGUUACAUAUAUUUGUUUUACAAGUUCUAUUAGAUAUUUUAUUUUUAGCUUGCUUCAUCAAGCAGGUUGAAACCUAAGUUGGGACUUAGCUUAUUAUCAAGGGAAGUUGCGUAUUUAAUCAUAUUUCUAUUU